GCUCGAAUUUAUCAUUUUUUUCGUGUAAAUUUCGUAUAAUUGUCAAUUUUUUUUCUCAAUCGGUCAGUGUUGUGUGAAAAUAUGGCAGGUAAUUAAAGUUGUGUUUUGAAGCCGAAGUUUAACGAUUGUCACCUGUUUGUCAACAAUUGACGAAAAAUAAACAAAAAAGCAUGGAAAUUGAGCACGUGUUUAACAUGUAAAUUCAGAUAAUAGUUUAUUUUAAGGACAUCCAUGCGUAUUGUGGUCACCGGAUUUUUACGAGAUGGGUCACACUGAGGUCACCUUGCAUACGGAAAAUAUGUCGGGGG
rnacentral:lncRNA from 1 species